rnacentral:rRNA from 1 species
UUGGAGGGCAAGUCUGGUGCCCGCAGCCGCGGUAAUUCCAGCUCCAAUAGCGUAUAUUAAAGUUGUUGCAGUUAAAAAGCUCGUAGUUGAAUUUCGGGGUCAGUAGGUUGGUCAUGCCACUGGUAUGUACUGGUCUCACUGAUUCCUCCUUCCUGAUGAGCCGUAAUGCCAUUAAUUUGGUGUUGCGAGGAAUCUGGACUGUUACUUUGAAAAAAUUAGAGUGUUUAAAGCAAGCUAACGCUUGAAUACAUUAGCAUGGAAUAAUGAAAUAGGACGUUCGAUCCUAUUUUGUUGGUUUCUAGGAUUGACGUAAUGAUUAAUAGGGAUAGUUGGGGGCAUUAGUAUUCAAUUGUCAGAGGUGAAAUUCUUGGAUUUAUUGAAGACUAACUACUGCGAAAGCAUUUGCCAAGGAUGUUUUCAUUAAUCAAGAACGAAAGUUAGGGGAUCGAAGACGAUCAGAUACCGUCGUAGUCUUAACCAUAAACUAUGCCGACUAGGGAUCGGAUGAUGUUAAUUUUUUAAUGACUCAUUCGGCGCCUUACGGGAAACCAAAGUGUUUGGGUUC